rnacentral:rRNA from 1 species
AGAUUGAACGCUGGCGGCAGGCCUAACACAUGCAAGUCGAGCGGCAGCACGGGUACUUGUACCUGGUGGCGAGCGGCGGACGGGUGAGUAAUGCCUAGGAAUCUGCCUGGCAGGUGGGGGAUAACGCUCGGAAACGGACGCUAAUACCGCAUACGUCCUACGGGAGAAGCAGGGGACCUUCGGGCCUUGCGCUAUCAGAUGAGCCUAGGUCGAUUAGCUAGUUGGUGAGGUAAUGGCUCACCAAGGCGACGAUCCCGUAACUGGUCUGAGAGGAUGAUCAGUCACACUGGAACUGAGCACGGUCCAGACUCCGACGGAGCAGUCAGGUGGGAAUAGUUGGACAAGUGGGACGAAAGCCUAGAUCCAGCCAUCGCCGCGUGUGAGAAGAAGGUCUCGGAUAGAAG